AACGAACGCUGGCGGCAUGCCUAAUACAUGCAAGUCGAACGAAGUCUUCGGAAUCUGUGGCGCACGGGUGCGUAACGCGUGGGAAUCGGCCCUCGGGUAUGGAAUAACUCAGAGAAAUUUGUGCCAAUAGCAAAUAAUGGCUUCGGACCAAAGAUUUAUUGACCUAGGAUGAUCCCGCGUAAGAUUAGCUAGUUGGUUGGGUAAAAGCCUACUAAGGCGACGAUCGUUAGCUGGUCUGAGAGGAUGAUCAGCCACACUGGGACUGAGACACGGCCCAGACUCCUACGGGAGGCAGCAGUGGGGGAUGUUGGACAGUGGGCGGAAGCCUGAUGCAGCAAUGCCGCGUGAAUGAUGAAGGUACUAGAGUUGUAAAGCUCUAUUACCAGGGAUGAUAAUGACAGUACCUGAUGAAUAAGCUCCGGCUAACUCCGUG
rnacentral:rRNA from 1 species